AUAUAAAGGUACGAGAGCUGGAGUUUGCCAUGACAGCUGGUUGGUAAACAGCCAAUGCUCAAAGCAUCUAUCUGUGUCCUCACAAGUUGUUAUUCUGUGGAACUACUUGAAACUUGUAAUUACAGGCUCUUUGUUUAACUUUCAAGUAUACCUUAUUCAUAGUUGAAGUAUAAACACAGGAAUGCGUGUGUGGAGAAUGGGCCUUAAAAAAUGACCCAAAUUCAACAAAAGCUUUUCUGUGGUUCUCUCUAUAAGGUGCUUUGUAAUAGGGGAAGCUACCUCUCAUGACCUCCCUAAGUGAGCUUCAAGUAAGUUCUUAGUGACUUGAUGGCUUUCAACUUCUUGUAUGAAAAUCAUUCAAGUGCCUCCUUAGAGAGAGGAUGUCAUGGAAAGAGCAUUCCUGCAUGCACGGGACUCUCCACAGGAGCGCUGUCCAGAGCCUCAGCAGGGCAUCAGGGUUGCAACAGGUCUGGAGCGUGAGCUGCUUCCUCACAGCUAGCAUUGUUUUCCACAGGUCGAAGUUCAAGGACCUUCUUAGAGGCUUCAGUAGCCAGCAUGGAAAUAAAGGCAGUCUCCUUUCAGAAAUGCUCAUUUUAAGAGACAGAAAAUUAACAUCUGCCAGAAGAUAUCAAAACUGAGAGGAUAAAACAGCCUUUCUCUGAGCCAUCCCUUUAGACAUAGAUGCUACAGGAAAAAUAUCAAAUGGGUUCUGAACAAAGCAGUUUUCACUGGAGGACAUGGCUAACUUGAAAGCAGUGCUGUUAGUACCAGUCUGGGUAGAAGAACAAAGAUGAAGCUACCAUUUUUGUUGAAGAUGUUAGUGAGUGGGGGAUAAAAAAAGCCAUAUAAUGCUUGUAAAGCCCUUUGGUCUGUGCUGUAGCAGGCACAUGUGCCAAGGAAGAAACUUGUAAAACUGGCUGUAAUUCCAGCAGGAACCGACAGUGUGAGUACUAACACUAUGUAAAGCGAGACCAGAGAGAUAGCAGCCCUCAAGAGAGUAGUCAGACAGGCAGCUGCUGGCUGGCCUGGGUCACACUCCAUGGAUGCAGCUGAACUGUUU